rnacentral:lncRNA from 1 species
CAUUAUAUAGCACUGGUGUUUUUAUGUAUUCAACCUUUAAAUCCUUUAACAAAUAUACAAUCCAUUGAAGUUCACAUGAGGUAGCAGUUAAAACUCGAUAUUCACUUUCACUUGAUGAUUUAGAGACAAUCAAUUAACUCUUGGUUUUCCAUGAAAUGAGGGAUCUUUCAAAAAAGAAACAUUAACCUGAAAUUGACCUUC